rnacentral:lncRNA from 10 species
GAAUAAAGCAGGCAGAAGAACGUGGAAAGACUAGACUGGCCUAGCCUCCCAGCCUACACCUUUCUCCUGUGCUGGAUGCUUCCUGCCCUAGAACAUUGGAUUCCAAGUACUUCAGCACUGGGACUCAGACUGGCUUCCUUGCUCUCAGCUUGCAGAUGGCUUACUGUGGGACCUCACCUUGUGAUCGUAUAUUGUGGCAAAGGAAAAAUAACUGGAAGACUUCAUGGCAAGAGUCCAAGGGCUCCAGGCCCGUCCACCUUCCCCACUGCCUAGGCUGUGACCCUACCUGACCGGAAGCGCUCAUCCCUCGAGGCGGUGGGCCGAGACUUCUGCUGCUUGGGUGCAGCGGCCGUGGUUUGUGAGGGCCCAGGAAUUCUAUUCUCUGCUUGCAGAGAUGGGUCUAUUCCUGAAACACAAUUUUAUGGGAAUACCUUAUGUGAACAAUUUGCUUUUCCAAUUAUGAAAAAG